CCCAUGCAAAGCUUGUAGGAAGCAGAAAAGCAGAGUUCCUGUGGCAUAAUGACUGUUCUGGAAAAUGCUGUCAAUGGAUUUUCCAUUACUGGGCACAUAUAAUGAAUGGGAAAAAGUGCAGAGAGCCUAAAGGAUCCCAGUGUGCUUAUGAAUACUUUAAUUCAUUACUGGAAUGAAUUCUCUUUCAAUAAAUUAUGAGAACUGCUGCAGAACGUUGGAGUAUAUUGGGACAGUGAAGUGUCCCAUCACUUGACUCCAGUUCAAUGCUUAAGUGUUAUUCAUAAGUCAAUCACACUUCUUAAAACAAUCUGGAGGAAUGGCUGUGGCCCAUCCAAGGAGGAGGAAAAUUUCUGUUGUAGCCUCUUGUGACAUCUUUUACUUGAGGCAGACAACUGGCUAGAUCCCAAGGAGAGCGUUGCUGAUUUGCCAUUGAACACUGGGAAGGCACUGUUGUACCCUGGCAUCCAAAGAGUAUUCCCCCAGACGUUCUCUGGGAUUCAACAUUUGUUUUCCAACACAAGUUCUUCCAAACAAGGCAGUCUGGCUGAAUACGGCAUCACUUCUAGAUCAGAAAGUUCCCAUCUAGAUCUUCAGAGUCAAAUCAGAAGAACAGUGUUGUUUCUGUGCAUCUUGUGCAGGCCUAUCAUCUAAUUCCUGAUGAAUUCACAAAAAGCAGUUAGGAAAUUAUCUACUAACAUCUCCAUCUAUUUGCAGAAUACUAUAUUUUGUUUCCAUUUUAGUUUACUGUAGUGUGUUAUCUAACUGCAGAAGUUCUCAAUUUUCAAAUGAAAGUCUCUUGAAUUCUGCUAAGUACAUUAUUUCAAAUAUAACUUGUAAAACUGAGAAAAAGGGCUUAGCUGUGAAUAAAAUAGAUUAGAUGUGAAUUGAAGAACCAAUUGCUGCCUUUUAGCAGUCUUAAAUCAGUAUCUUUCAAUUAUUCUUUCCUGGUAAAAGAAAUGAAACUGUUGACUUUGUCUUUGAUAUUCAUUGUUUGAUUUAAUCUCCAGAUUUCACAUAAAAUAAUUGUUAUAUAUAAUGUUAGAUCCUGAAAUUUGGAUAUCUCAUUACUUGUGUGACAAAGAAUUUAUAUGUUUAAAAAGUUAAAAAAAAUGGCGUUACGAAAACUGAGAGGACGAUGUAUAAACCUGUAUUAUGGCCAUUUUUUACAAGACUGUCCUGGAAAAUGCUUUUCUUCCAAUUUCCUGUGAUGAAUUCAAAUACAAGAGCUGAUGUUUAUGAAAAGCUUUCAGGAAACUCCAGCUUGCAGAAUGAAUAACAGGUAACCACUGAAAUCUCUACAGAUAUUAGAAAUCACCGAUGCAUGUGAGAGAUACAGCUGAUUCCCUUGCUGAAUUUUAAUAAUUAAAAAAAUAAAUAAAUAAAUAAAGCAUGAAAGCCAUGGAUCUGGUUAACCUAACUCCCAUCUGAAAGUCAAUAUUAAUUCUUUA